GACGUAGGGCGCGAGCGUUGUCCGGAUUUAUUGGGCGUAAAGAGCUCGUAGGCGGCUUGUCGCGUCGUCCGUGAAAACUUGGGGCUCAACCCCAAGCUUGCGGUCGAUACGGGCAGGCUAGAGUUCGGUAGGGGAGACUGGAAUUCCUGGUGUAGCGGUGAAAUGCGUAGAUAUCAGGAGGAAUACCGGUGGCGAAAGCGACUCUCUGGACGGCAACUGACGCUGAGGCACGAAAGCGUGGGGAGCAAACAGG
rnacentral:rRNA from 1 species